rnacentral:rRNA from 1 species
GCGCAUCUAAUACAACUUUCAACAACGGAUCUCUUGGCUCUCGCAUCGAUGAAGAACGCAGCGAAAUGCGAUAAGUAAUGUGAAUUGCAGAAUUCAGUGAAUCAUCGAAUCUUUGAACGCACCUUGCGCCCCUUGG